rnacentral:rRNA from 1 species
AGCUCCAAUAGCGUAUAUUAAAGUUGCUGCAGUUAAAAAGCUCGUAGUUGAAUUUGUGGCGCGGCCAUCCGGCGGGGGCUCUUCAUUGAGCCCGUUUGUCCUGGUUUUUGGCCGUUCCUUUCUCGGGUAGCGUGUGGCUGGCAUUAGGUUGUUGGCUGCUUCGCGCCCGUCUUUUACUGUGAAAUAAUAAGAGUGUGCCACGACGGUCUAUUUUGUUGGUUUGCACGUUGUGGUAAUGGUUAACAGGAAUAGUUGGGGGUAUUCGUAUUCAAUUGUCAGAGGUGAAAUUCUUGGAUUUGUGGAAGACGAACUACUGCGAAAGCAUUUACCAAGGAUGUUUUCA